UCCCUUUGGCAGCACAUACACUAAAAUUGGAACGAUACAGAGAAGAUUAGCAUGGCCCCUGCGAAUUUUUAAGACACACAAAUUCAAAAGGCAAAACAUCUAUAU
rnacentral:snRNA from 1 species